UACGUAGGUGGCAAGCGUUAUCCGGAAUUAUUGGGCGUAAAGAGCGCGCAGGUGGUUGAUUAAGUCUGAUGUGAAAGCCCACGGCUUAACCGUGGAGGGUCAUUGGAGACUGGUCGACUUGAGUGCAGAAGAGGGAAGUGGAAUUCCAUGUGUAGCGGUGAAAUGCGUAGAGAUAUGGAGGAACACCAGUGGCGAAGGCGGCUUCCUGGUCUGUAACUGACACAGAGGCGCGAAAGCGUGGGGAGCAAACAGGAUUAGA
rnacentral:rRNA from 1 species